rnacentral:rRNA from 1 species
UACAGAGGUCUCAAGCGUUGUUCGGAUUCAUUGGGCGUAAAGGGUGCGUAGGCGGCGCGGUAAGUCGGGUGAUGAAACUCUCCGGGAGCUUAACUCCGAAACUGCAUUCGAUACUGCCGUGCUUGAGGACUGGAGAGGAGACUGGAAUUUACGGUGUAGCGGUGAAAUGCGUAGAUAUCGUAAGGGAAGACCGAGUGGCGAAGG